GGAGCUGCAGUUGGGUCAAGCACUCCUGGCAGAAGGUGUGCAAGCACGCCAGCAGCUUGGGCGCGCGCCGGUCUGCGUCGAAGUAGUUGUAGCAGAUCUUGCACUCGUAGUCCUCGAGCGGAGGGAGGCCGGAGAUCGCCACCGCUGCGUUCCGGGCUCCGGCCUCCCGACCGUCCCGGGCUCCCACCGCGGUGCUUCCUGCUCCUGUGGAGCUCCCAGGGCUGCUGGUUGGACUCUGCUCGCCGCCGCCGCUGUCGCUUGCCGGCGCUGCCAUGGCAUGAUCCGCCCCUCAUCAGGGUUAAGGUGAGGCGCCUUCCUCCCCCUAUGCCGCUGUCUCGGCUCAGGGCGGGGAGGAGGCGCUUCUGCCUCCCCCCCACUGGCUGCUGUCGCCUGGCGGGGGAGGCACUGCUGGCUGGGCCGGGCGGGGGCGUAGCGGCGACCGCCUCCCCCCACUCUCCCAAGGAGGUGCGGGCACCGCGGUCCCUCCCAGUCCCCGGGAGCCUCUCUGCUGUCCCCCUUGGGCCUCUCAAGGAAGCGUCUCUGGCCGCUUUGGAUAUUGGUUUUUGUUGGACUUGGAAUUGGGAAUUGAGGGCGACUGGGGGACGCCGGGACAGAGGGCGAUUCAGGCUGGUCCUCACCCUAAGAAGAGAGAGCCUCCCCAACCCCAAGAAGGAAGGGAAAGCGGAUGGCUCUCUGGGUCCCUGUGAGAUGGGAAUGUUCCCACUUUCUCUCUGGAUUCUCUGCAAAAGACAGCAAGAUACCCCAGGGGAUAUUGGUGGAAAAGAUGAAUGCAUAGGAAUCAAGCUGAAGGAAGAGAAAGAAGGAAAGAAAAGAAACCAGUGA
rnacentral:lncRNA from 1 species